rnacentral:rRNA from 1 species
UACGUAGGGUGCGAGCGUUGUCCGGAAUUAUUGGGCGUAAAGAGCUCGUAGGCGGCUUGUCGCGUCGGAUGUGAAAGCCCGGGGCUUAACUCCGGGUCUGCAUUCGAUACGGGCAGGCUAGAGUUCGGUAGGGGAGAUCGGAAUUCCUGGUGUAGCGGUGAAAUGCGCAGAUAUCAGGAGGAACACCGGUGGCGGAGGCGGAUCUCUGGGCCGAUACUGACGCUGAGGAGCGAAAGCGUGGGGAGCGAACAGG